CUGAGAGGACAGGAGUCAGUCUUGGUCUAGUUUCAUCCCAUGAUGAACCAGUAAGUGGACUGGCCAAAAAAUGCAAAUGAGGCUCAAGACAUUUUGUUUGAAAGGUGCCAAUUCUGAAACCCCAUGGGAAGGCACCUUGUGAAGACCAAAGUGAUCCGAAGGUUCACAAAAGUGAGCCAACAUCAGAAAAGGAAGCAUUGGGUGGGAGUGAGGCUAAGAGGAGAGGAGUCAGUCCUGGUCUUGUUGAAUCAAAUGAUGAUACGGAAUCUGUGGCCGGCAUUGAGGCCGAGAUGACAGGAGUCAGUUCUGGUGUUGGAUCAUUCAAGGAUGAUACAUGCCACCAUAGAAUGUUUGGUGCAGUUCUCAGUGCUUUGGAAAAUUGUGAAGACUGCACUGGGCCUGUCUCCAGUUUAAAAUGGCUUGGUGUAACAUGCAAAUGAUGCUUGGGAUCAUGUUUCUGACUCUGAAAUCAUUGAUUCAGCUUCAGACGAUGUUUACCUUCCAUCAAGAAGCUCUGAUGGAUCCAGCUCUGAUUUUCCUACUGACACGGAACAUAAUGAGGAUGCACAAUCGCUAAUCUUGCCAUAUCUUGGACAAGUUAAACCACUUUCUUCUGAAGGAAAAACAAAGAGAGUUCUGCUGUUGGAACAGAAGGCCUCCAAAUCUGACUGCAUCAAUGACCAACCCUGUUCUGAUAAUGGAGUGACUAAUAGUGAUAACUGGAUUAUUUCAACAAAUACAGCCGAGCAGCCUCCUACCCCGGCCGAGCAGCCUCCUACCCCGGCCGAGCCUCUUCCUAGCUCGUCAACUCAACAAAUCUCUUCUUGCACUUUAAAGAAUUGCUGCUAUGUUUGCAAAAAAGCCCAAUCCAAAAUUUCUCGGCACUUUAAAAAGCAUGAGAAAGAAGAUUUGGACAUUGCCCGAGCAUUGUCAUUAUCCAAGAACUCAAAAGAGAGAAAAAUGGUACUGGAUAAGUUGCGGAACAAAGGAAAUUAUGAGUAUAAUCAGGAGGUAAUAAAUAGCCAUAGUGGAUCACUGAAAGUCAGAAGAAGAGCUGGAUCAUCAAAAGUCUCUGAGAAUUCCAAAAGGUACAGUGCCUUGCAAAAGUAUUCGGCCCCCUUGAAUCUUGCAACCUUUCGCCACAUUUCAGGCUUCAUACAUAAAGAUAUGAAAUUGAAUUUUUUUGUCAAGAAUCAACAACAAGUGGGACACAAUCGUGAAGUGGAACAACAUUUAUUGGAUAAUUUAAACUUUUUUAACAAAUAAAAAACUGAAAAGUGGGGCGUGCAAUAUUAUUCGGCCCCUUUACUUUCAGUGCAGCAAACUCACUCCAGAAGUUCAGUGAGGAUCUCUGAAUGAUCCAAUGUUGUCCUAAAUGACCGAUGAUGAUAAAUAGAAUCCACCUGUGUGUAAUCAAGUCUCCGUAUAAAUGCACCUGCUCUGUGAUAGUCUCAGGGUUCUGUUUAAAGUGCAGAGAGCAUUAUGAAAGCCAAGGAACACACCAGGCAGGUCCGAGAUUCUGUUGUGGAGAAGUUUAACGCCGGAUUUGGAUACAAAAACAUUUCCCAAGCUUUAAACAUCUCAAGGAGCACUGUGCAAGCCAUCAUAUUGAAAUGGAAGGAGCAUCAGACCACUGCAAAUCUACCAAGACCCGGCCGUCCUUCCAAACUUUCUUCUCAAACAAGGAGAACACUGAUCAGAGAUGCAGCCAAAAGGCCCAUGAUCACUCUGGAUGAACUGCAGAGAUCUACAGCUGAGGAAAAAGAACUAUAUUGACUGAGGAUUUGGUCAAGAGUUCCAAAGGACAGAAGAAAAAGUGUGCCGUCAGCAGUUCCAGAGAGAUCAAACGCAGAAAAUAUGUGAAGAGGCCGUGGAGCAACGCCGAAAUCAGCGCUGUCAUGAAAUUCUUCAAAACCCACAUCGAAAAAGGGAAAUUGGCAAGUAAAAUUGAGUGUGAACAAUACAAACUAGCUGAGGACCCGAUUUUGAAGAAUAGAACCCUUCAAAAUAUUAGGGAUUUUGUGAGGAACCGUGACCUUAAGUUAAAAAAAUAGGUUCUAAUUAAGUAUUUGUUAACUUUUAUUAGUGCAAUAUUUGGUUUACAUUUUAUUUGAAGAUUUUUUGCAGAGAAAUGACUUUUUUUUUUGGUGAAAGGCAAGUUCAGGUUGUUAUAUUUUUUUCUUGCACAUUGUUUUAAGUUAUGAUAAAAGUAUUAGAAUUUAUUCAUGGCCAAGUGGGCAUUUUUAUAGACAGGAGUUAAGGGGUUGUUUGAUCAGUUUUUUCAAAAGUUGUUAAUGUUUGUUGAACAAUAAAGCACUUUGUAAUAAGGUUGUACUGUAGCGUUGUUAGGUUAAAUAGGUUCUAAUUAAGUAUUUAUGUUAACUUUUAUUAGUGCAAUAUUUGGUUUACAUUUUAUUUGAAGAUUUUUUUGCGGAAAAAUGACUUUUUUUUUUUUUUUGUGAAAGGCAAGUUCAGGUUGUUGUCCUUAUAUUUUUUUCUUGCACAUUGUUUUAAGUUAUAAAAGUAUUAGAAUUUAUUCAAGGCCAAGUGGGCAUUUUUAUAGACAGGAGUUAAGGGGUUAUUUGAUCAGUUUUUUCAAAAGUUGUUCAUGUUUGUUGAACAAUAAAGCACUUUCUAAUAAGGUUGUACUGUAGCGUUGUUGUACAAUUAUUUCUGUGAGCAUUCCUUACUGUAAUCAGUUUCACAGUCAUCAA